rnacentral:rRNA from 1 species
UACAGAGGUGGCAAGCGUUGUUCGGAAUUACUGGGCGUAAAGGGCGCGUAGGCGGCCUUCUAAGUCAGACGUGAAAUCCCCCGGCUUAACCGGGGAACUGCGUCUGAUACUGGAUGGCUGGAGUUUGGGAGAGGGAUGCGGAAUUCCAGGUGUAGCGGUGAAAUGCGUAGAUAUCUGGAGGAACACCGGUGGCGAAGGCGGCAUCCUGGACCAACACUGACGCUGAGGAGCGAAAGCCAGGGGAGCAAACGGG